CAAGUCGAACGCGAAAGUUCCCUUCGGGGAGCGAGUAGAGUGGCGCACGGGUGAGUAACACGUAGGUAAUCUACCUUUGGAUUGGGAAUAACAACCGGAAACGGUUGCUAAUACCGAAUAAUGCAGCGGCACCUAAUGGUGACAGUUGUUAAAGCGGGGGAUCGCAAGACCUCGCGUCUGAAGAGGAGCCUGCGGCGGAUUAGCUAGUUGGUAAGGUAAUGGCUUACCAAGGCGAUGAUCCGUAGCCGGCCUGAGAGGGCGGUCGGCCACACUGACACUGACAUACGGGUCAGACUCCUACGGGAGGCAGCAGUCGGGAAUUUUGGGCAAUGGGCGAAAGCCUGACCCAGCAACGCCGCGUGAAGGAUGAAAUCCCUCGGGAUGUAAACUUCGCAAGAACGGGAAGAAUAAGUAGGAGCUAACAUCUCUUACGAUGACGGUACUGUUUGUAAGCUCCGGCUAACUCCGUGCCAGCAGCCGCGGUAAUACGGGGGGAGCAAGCGUUGUUCGGAUUUACUGGGCGUAAAGGGCGCGUAGGCGGCCACUGCAAGUCAGUUGUGAAAUCUCCGGGCUUAACCCGGAAAGGUCAACUGAUACUGCAGGGCUAGAGUGCAGAAGGGGCAACUGGAAUUCUCGGUGUAGCGGUGAAAUGCGUAGAUAUCGAGAGGAACACCUGCGGCGAAGGCGGGUUGCUGGGCUGACACUGACGCUGAUGUGCGAAAGCCAGGGGAGCGAACGGGAUUAGAUACCCCGGUAGUCCUGGCCUUAAACGAUGAAUGCUUGGUGUCUGGGGUUUUAUAGUCCCCGGGUGCCGUCGCUAACGCUUUAAGC
rnacentral:rRNA from 1 species